rnacentral:rRNA from 1 species
AGAGUUUGAUCCUGGCUCAGAUUGAACGCUGGCGGCAUGCCUUACACAUGCAAGUCGAACGCGAAAGGGGGCAACCCCGAGUAGAGUGGCGAACGGGUGAGUAAUACAUCGGAACAUGUCCUGUAGUGGGGGAUAGCUCGGCGAAAGCCGGAUUAAUACCGCACACGAUCUACGGAUGAAAGCGGGGGACCGCAAGGCCUCGCGCUAUUGGAGUGGCCGAUGUCGGAUUAGCUAGUUGGCGGGGUAAAGGCCCACCAAGGCGACGAUCCGUAGCUGGUUUGAGAGAACGACCAGCCACACUGGGACUGAGACACGGCCCAGACUCCUACGGGAGGCAGCAGUGGGGAAUUUUGGACAAUGGGCGCAAGCCUGAUCCAGCCAUGCCGCGUGAGUGAAGAAGGCCUUCGGGUUGUAAAGCUCUUUCGGCCGGGACGAAAUCGCAUCUUCUAACACAGGGUGUGGAUGACGGUACCGGAAGAAGAAGGACCGGCUAACUACGUGCCAGCAGCCGCGGUAAUACGUAGGGUCCGAGCGUUAAUCGGAAUUACUGGGCGUAAAGCGUGCGCA